CGAGGAUAUAGAGUUUUGUAUAUCCAGCUGUAACUGGCAAACGCUUUCUCUAGCAGAACGAUUUCUACGAAAACCAAAUUGAUUGGAAGGAAUAUGAUAACUAGUACCAAGAGGACAAUCAUGUACAGACCAGUCACAGUUGAGAGCCAGUGAUGAAGAUACCAAUGAUAAAUCCAAAGCAUUGGGUCGCCAUGUUGGAGAACCGAUAGUCGUUGCUUGCCCAUCAUUAAGGAGAACCAAAUUAUUAUCCUCAAUAACCUCUAGAAUAUUUCGACCACGCGGGCUGUCGGAACCACAGCCCCAACAAGUGUGAUGAGCGUUAAAAUCGCCCGCAAAUAUGAAAGGACUAGGAAUAGACUUAACCAAUGUAUCAAAA